GUUUCGUUCCAAAAUGAUUACUCUCCUGAUCUCACCGAUAACGAUUCGGUUACACCUCUGUAUGACUUCGACAAUUCGACCUAUCAUGCCAAAGGAAAAGGGCGAAGAAGAUUGUGAUUUGCUGGAAUUAGCCAGGUCAUUGAAACAAGAGGAGAAGGUGAUUCGACCGCACGAGGAGCGAUUCAAGAUUGUUACUCCAAGCUCCGCCGAGAUUAGAAAGCAAAAACUGAGGCCGACAAAGGAUGAGAAAGAGAGAAGGUGUGAAUAGACUAUCA
rnacentral:lncRNA from 1 species